CCUGGCUCAGAUUGAACGCUGGCGGCAGGCCUAACACAUGCAAGUCGAGCGCGAAAGUUCUUCGGAACGAGUAGAGCGGCGGACGGGUGAGUAACGCGUGGGAAAUUGCCCAGUAGUGGGGGACAACAUUCGGAAACGGAUGCUAAUACCGCAUACGCCCUACGGGGGAAAGCAGGGGAUCUUCGGACCUUGCGCUACUGGAUAUGCCCGCGUCGGAUUAGCUAGUUGGUGAGGUAAUGGCUCACCAAGGCGACGAUCCGUAGCUGGUCUGAGAGGAUGAUCAGCCACACUGGGACUGAGACACGGCCCAGACUCCUACGGGAGGCAGCAGUGGGGAAUAUUGGACAAUGGGCGCAAGCCUGAUCCAGCCAUGCCGCGUGUGUGAAGAAGGCCCUAGGGUUGUAAAGCACUUUCAGCAGGGAGGAAGGCCUUAAAGUUAAUACCUUUGAGGAUWGACGUUACCUGCAGAAGAAGCACCGGC
rnacentral:rRNA from 1 species